GAGAAAAACCAAAAAAAAAAAAAAAAAAAAAAAAAAAAAAAAAAAAAAAAAAAAAAAAAAAAAAAAAAAAAAAAAGAGGAGGGCGCAGGAUAAAAGCCAGAAAGACGGUGAUUCCUCUGAUGUCUUGCUAAAGGAGCCUUCCCAGCGAUUCUGGCGAAGGAGUUAAGGGUCUAGAAUAGAGGC
ensembl:lincRNA